CUUUGGGUACUUCCUUCUUUCUCUUUCUAUUCGCAUUCUUUGCCACUGCCCCAGCUGUUCCCUGCCGUGGCAUUAAACUAUCAAAGGAUGAAGUGCAGAUGAGGGCACGGAGGGCACCAAGGGCACCGUGGGUGGGGGAAGGAUUUUUCCCCUCUGGGAUGUCUUAACUAGGGCAUUACCAAUGGCACUUGCUAUGGGUAGAAUUCCUUUCUGUGAGGCAGCCGUUAACACCUUCAGAAAGAGCUAAGAUAGAAGGGAUGAUAGAGGCCAUCCUGACCAAUAUUUUGAGGUCAUUUUCUGGGUCAGAAAUUUUUGUGACUGAGUCUUAUGUAUAUAUAUCUGUCACUUUUGCUUUGGGGGAAUUUCUCAUUUUAUCACAGAAAUACUAGCCUAUGACAUGAAGACUAUUUCUCUCUGGCUCUAAGCCAUUUUUCUUUCCAAGAGUGGGUUUUUAGUGGACAGAGCUUCUUCUGUAAAUCAUGCUCCUUCUUGCAAUAUUUUGUUUGCGGUACUAGCAGUGGAUACAAAGGCUGCUUUAUCUGUGUUCAUGCGCAGAUCCGCCAGCCUGUGGAUGAUCCUCACUCAUCAAGAGAGUGUUAGCUGAAAAUUUCCAAGAGAUCCACCUCCAUAAAUUUCCACCCUCUGUCACUCAUUCAUAAUGCCACGUCAUAGUAAAACAGGAAACUUUUACUCCAUGAUGGUGUGAAGGCUGUGUGGGGGAAUCUUGAAGAAAAAGAUUGUCACAAUAUGGCUACAGCUGUGAAAUUUUUAUUCCAGUCAGCAGGAAAGAAAAAAGAGAAGGAGAAGAAGAAGGACAUACUUCUUUCCAUAAACCACUUCCACUUACAAGUCAUUGGUUAUAACUUAAUCUUAUGAAUGUAACCGGCUAUAGUGGAGGCUGCUCAAGUGGGAAAUGUAAUUUUUAUUCCAGGCAGUCUUGUGCUUAGCUAAAUAUGGGGUGCUCUUUACUAUCAAAGAGAGGAAAAAAAGGUGUUAGCCCACCCAACUAGCAAUCUCAGCCACGGAUCAUCAUGAGAUUUAAAUGAGACAAUGCAGGUAGAGGGUUGAGCACAGUGUUGGGCACUCAGGAAGCACUCAAAAAACAUUGUCAUCGUCAUCAUCAUCAUCAUCAUCAACAUCAUCAUCACCAUCAUCAUGAGAAGAUGCUGAGAGAUGUUACAUGUCUUGCUCAAGGUAACCCAGUUGGAGGACAGUCUUGGCUUCAGCUCAUUUGUCUCUAGAUCC